UACGGAGAGUGCAAACGUUGUUCGGAUUCACUGGGCGUAAAGGGCACGUAGGCGGCUCGGCAAAUCGGUCGUGGAAUCCCGACGCUUACCGUCGGAACGGCGGCCGAAAAUACCGGGCUCGAGGGCGUGAGGGGUCACUGGAACUCCUGGUGAAGCGGUGAAAUGCGUAGAUAUCAGGAGGAACGCCGGAGGCGAAAGCGAGUGACUGGCGCGAUUCCUGACGCUGGAGGUGACGAAAGCUAGGGGAGCAAACAGG
rnacentral:rRNA from 1 species